AAAAACUGGGGUGUAUUUUCCUUAGGCAAUGAUUUGCCUCCUAACUCCUUCUCCAUGAGGCUGGGAAAACUAAUGUUUUACCUCAUUGGGGAAGGGAAGAAGGAAGUUACUCUUCCAAACAGAAAGUAAAUUACAAGCAUGGCACAUUCUAUGAAAAAGCAGUGCAUUACCUGUCUCAAACAGCUUUCAGGUUUAGUAUUUUUUUUCAUGAGUGCACUGAUCCUUUCACUUAUCUAGUCUAAAAUUCAGGGGAGAAAUUCAUUUCCCUACAACCCUUUGCCAUUUGGGCCUACCCAGUCUCCAAGAUUCAUCUAAUUUGGGAUUCCUUCACACUAUGCUCAGCAAGGAGUUCUCCCUUGCUAUGGGAGAUCCAAGAGCUUUGACAAAAGGUAUCUGAAUGGAUUGAGAAAGGAACUUUAAAAAGUCUGGAGGAGAAGGGAACAAAGGAGCCAUUAUAUAGUGCCAAGAAGCACAAGGUCAAAGAGACCAACCAAUCCUAAUGGGGUUGAUGAAAAUCUUCACAGUACAAAGGAGCACAAGGUCAAAAAGGACCAAACCAAUCCAGGUCUUUGCACAGUGGAAGGCACAGAAAGGGAGUAAUAUAUGUGAAGUCCAUGAGAAGCCUAUCUGCGAUGAAAGUUAUCAUGAGAUCUUAACUGAAGGAGGAAUAAGCAAUUCAAGCCUCUUCUCCCCACAUCUUUCCUCAAGGAAGAUUCCUGCUAAGGGAGAAAACAAGCCGUUAGGAUGGGAUAUUCACUCUUCUCUUCUCGGAGAAAAGAUUUUAGAAACCAGAAGUACAUGAAGUGACUUGAAUUUUGAAGAGGAUCUGAAACUUGAGAAGUGUCAAAGAGGACUGAAAAAAUUUGGAGGUCUGCUCCUGCUGACUCUGCCCUACAUCCCAUGCAGAGCAAAGCAUCUGUCUCCAUCAAAAGAAAGAGUAUGAUACUAAUGGACUUUAGGAUUGAGGUUCCAAUUUUAUCAAUCUAUCGCUGUCUCUCUCUCUCUGUGCAGGCAUCUCCCAUUUCUCUACAUGUAUAUGUUUAUGUAUAGCUGUCUAUACCUAUGUUCUAGAUGAGGAAGCUGAGUCAAAUAGUGAUUAAGUAUCUUUACAGAGUAAAUGUCUGUUUCUGGAUUUGAACUCAGCUUUUUUACUCCGUGUUCAAGGAUCUGUGCCACUGUGCCACUCAGCUAUAAGCAUGUAUAUAUGCUACAAAACAUGUAGAUUCAAGAAAAGCUCACUUUUUAAAAGCACUUCCUCAAUGCCCAGGAG
rnacentral:lncRNA from 1 species